CGUAGGGUGCGAGCGUUAAUCGGAAUUACUGGGCGUAAAGCGUGCGCAGGCGGUUAUGAAAGACAGGCGUGAAAUCCCCGGGCUUAACCUGGGAACUGCGUUUGUGGCUCCAUAACUCGAGUACGGCAGAGGGGGGUGGAAUUCCACGUGUAGCAGUGAAAUGCGUAGAGAUGUGGAGGAACACCGAUGGCGAAGGCAGCCCCCUGGGCCAGUACUGACGCUCAUGCACGAAAGCGUGGGGAGCAAACAGGAUUAGAUACCCUGGUAGUCCACGCCCUAAACGAUGUCAACUAGUUGUUGGUAGGGUAAAACCUAUUAGUAACGGAGCUAACGCGUGAAGUUGACCGCCUGGGGAGUACGGCCGCAAGGUUA
rnacentral:rRNA from 1 species